CGGUGUUCAACUGGCGUGUCCGCGGGACGUCCUGCCGGUGGGCUUAGCCCGCAAGGGCGGCCCAACUUCAAAUCCCAUCGCGGUGCUCUUCACUGAGUGUCGAGGUGGGCCGGCACGUUUACUUUGAACAAAUUAGAGUGCUUAAAGCAGGCUAAAACUUCGCCUGAAUACUGUGUGCAUGGAAUAAUGGAAUAGGACCUCGGUUCUAUUUUGUUGGUUUUCGGAACCCCGAGGUAAUGAUUAAUAGGAACGGAUGGGGGCAUUCGUAUUGCGACGUUAGAGGUGAAAUUCUUGGAUCGUCGCAAGACGGACAGAAGCGAAAGCAUUUGCCAAAAACGCUUUCAUUGAUCAAGAACGAAAGUUAGAGGUUCGAAGGCGAUCAGAUACCGCCCUAGUUCUAACCAUAAACGAUGCCAGCUAGCGAUCCGUCGACGUUCCUCCGAUGACUCGACGGGCAGCUUCCGGGAAACCAAAGCUUUUGGGUUCCGGGGGAAGUAUGGUUGCAAAGCUGAAACUUAAAGGAAUUGACGGAAGGGCACCACCAGGAGUGGAGCCUGCGGCUUAAUUUGACUCAACACGGGAAACCUCACCAGGCCCGGACACCGGAAGGAUUGACAGAUUGAGAGCUCUUUCUUGAUUCGGUGGGUGGUGGUGCAUGGCCCGUUCUUAGUUGGUGGAGCGAUUUGUCUGGUUAAUUCCGAUAACGAACGAGACUCUAGCCUGCUAACUAGGCGUAUUUUCGACAUCUCAAAGGUCCGUCGUCCCGGCCCUCGGGUCGUGGGCGUGCGCGAUUUUUACUGUCGGCGUACUAUCAAUUCUUCUUAGAGGGACAGGUGGCUUCUAGCCGCACGAGAUUGAGCAAUAACAGGUCUGUGAUG
rnacentral:rRNA from 1 species